rnacentral:rRNA from 1 species
AUGGCGUCGGCGACUCCGGCAGGCGGCGGCGAGGGCGUCCACGGCGGCGGUGAGAUGCCGUUCUGGCCUCCUAGCGGAACGGCUGGCAUCGACGGCGAUGGCGGCGACGACUCCAGCUCCGCGUACUCGACCGACGACGAGGAGGAGUCGAUGUUACUCAGCAUGGAGCAGCGGUUGCGGUUGGCGCAGCAGUGGGUGGCGAACCCUAGCAGCAGCCAUCAGUUGACGCAUGGACUUGGCGGCAUGCUUUUGGAUGAAGACAUUUGGCAAGUGAGGAUCCAUUUUGAUGCAAGAGAACCAUUGGAGAUGAAGCUGUGUGGUUCAGAUAUUACUUAUCUGAAUUUGGUUGCAGUGAUGGAAACCCAAGGAUUUAAUGCAUAUGAUUGUUUGUAUCACAUUGAAAAUCCAUCUUUAGGAGAGAAAGGGCUGGAUUUGGUAGACAGUCAUGCAGAAUUACAGAAGAUAAAGAGGAAGAUCCAGGACAAAUUGGUGCUUGAUUUGCUAGUCAGGGCUUGUCCACCCCCUGAUACUGAUUUUGAGUUGCAGCAAUGUGAAAUGCCAGAGUUGUCCACUGUGGUGUACCAAGAGCCUGUUGUUUUCGAUCUGAGUGAGCCUCCUGUCUUAGCUGUUGAUCAGCAAAGAGUAGUUUUUGAGAGUCAAUGUAGCAACUCUAGCACACCUCAUCCUGCUGGUGUUUGCACACAAGAAAGCAAGAAUGCAACAGCCAAGUUGAAAGCAGUUUUGGAAGAAGAAGAAGAGGGAUAUCAAGGAUUUGAGGCAUAUGAGGACAGUGAUGCUAAUGCCUCUGAUGAGGAUGCUCAAAUUGGAAAUGACCAUCAUUACAUGGGUGAUGAUGAUGUAGAGGUGGAAGAGGGAAAGAGACAGAGAGAGCUAGAAGUACAAGAGGAAGAAUCAGAUGAUGAGCAAUCAGAAGAGGAAGAAAUGCUGCAUUAUGAGGGUGACACUGAAGUUGAGGACCCAUUUGAGGUAGAGGAAGAUAGGACUUUUGAAGAAGAAGAAGAAACUAUAGUUGAACCUGUGAAGAAGAAGCAGAAGCUACCAAUUAGAAGAGGACCAACAACUAGGUUACAUUGUAGUAAGCUACCAGAGGUUGAACCUGAUUUCAGACCAUCAUCAGAUGAAGAAGAGAAGGGGUUGUUGAGGGAGAGUGAUGAGGAUGGUUUUGAGCCAGCCUCUUUUGUCCUACCAAAGAAAAGGAAGAGUAGGGCAAAGAAAAGGCCUACUAGGAAGUGGUACAAUGAGAAAAUGGAGCAACCACAUGAGCAACUGUGUAUGAAGUUGUGUUUUAGGGAUCAACAUCAAUUCAGAGAUGCUUUAUUGAAUUUGCACAUCACUCAGGCCAGGAAUUUUAAGUACCACAGGAAUUCAGAUCAGAGGAUAAUUGUUGAGUGUCCAGAUAAACAAUGCCAAUUCUUUAUGGUGGCAGCAGUUAUAAAAGGGGAGAAAACCUUUGUAAUUAAGAAGAUGAGACUAGAGCACACUUGCCCUAGUACCACUGAGACCAUCAGGACAAUAAUUGAUGCAUGCAUGGAAAAAUAUGGUGUAGAUGUGCCCAAGUGCAUGGCAUAUAGGGCAAAGAACAUAGCUAUUGAAGCUGUCUUAGGAGAUCACAAGAAGCAAUAUCCUAGGCUUAAAGACUAUGCUCAGACUGUCAUGGACACAAACCCUGGGAGUAGAGUAAUAGUCACUACUGUUACUCCAGUACCAAAUGCAAAAAUACCCCACCCAGGCCCAAGAUUCCAUGCCAUGUUCUUUUGCCUGAAUGGAGCAAGGGAGGGGUUUCUCAAUGGGUGUAGGCCAUUCAUUGGUGUUGAUGGAUGCUUCAUUAAGCUCACUACAGGAACUCAACUCCUUGCUGCCACUGGUGGAGAAGUGAGCAAGUUUGGACCUUAUACUAUAAUGUCAGAUAGACAAAAGGGGUUAUUGAAUGCAGUGAAUGCUGUCUUUCCAAAUUGCAACCAAAGAUUCGGCCUUAGGCAUUUAUAUGCAAAUUUCCAAAAUGUUGGGUUUAGGGGUGAAGAUCUUAAGAAGUGCAUGGAUAAUGCUAGCUAUGCAUACAAUGAACACAAAUUUAAUAUUGCAAUGAAUGAUCUUAGAGCUGAAAGUGAGGAAGCUUUGGAGUGGCUUACUGCAAUACCAAAAAAACAUGGGCAAGGCAUGCAUUUGACACAAACUGCAAGACUGACUUGCCAAGAGCUGCUGGUCCUUCUACUACAACAACAGCAAGACAGCCAAGAGCUGCUGCCAGAGGAGCUGCUACUUCUACUACACCACCACCAUCUAGAAGAGGAAGAGGAAGAGGAGCUGCUACUUCUACUACACCACCACCAUCUGGAAGAGGAGCUGGCAGAGGAAGAGGAGCUGGAAGAGGUGCUCCAAGGCCAUUCAGUGCCCCCAGGCAAUAUGCUGACAUUCCUACUGAUGGUACACACACUGGAUGGAUGUCCUACUUCACUGCUAGCAGAGGAAGAGGAGCCAUGAAGGAGGGGGGAGGAGUCGCGCUCGCCGGUGCGCUACCGCGAGCUCCCAAUGGCAUACGAGCCUCCAGUGAUGUGCCACUGCUCACCUCCGAGGAAGGCGCCAAGAUGGAUCUCCUGGAGCAGGCAGAACCCUGGUAGGAGGUACUAUAGCUGCGUGGAUGCUAUGCACGGUGGCUGUGGAUUUGUGCAAUGGCAUGAUGAUCCAUUGCCCACAUUCUGGAGUGAGCUCAUUGGGGAUCUACGUGAUGAAGUAUGGAGGCUUAAAGGUGCAACUGUUGCUAGAUCUGAAGAUCAAUUUCCAAUGCUGACUCCAAGUGAAGAUGAUGGCACAAGGGAGGCCAUGUUUCUGUCUCUGCAAACUCAACUCAGAGAGAAGAAUGCAGAGAUUGUAGGGAUUAGGGGCAAAUUUCACAAUGUGUUGUUUCUUUUCACUAUAUUUGUGCUUGGGUUAGUUGCAGGCAAGAUAUUAAGUUAG